GACUUGGCAUCAGAUAGAAAACCCUCUCGGAUUCAAUCCCAGCAUAACCGCCAUCUCUUAGCUACCUUUCGGAAAGUCACAGGCAAGCUGCUGUUGUUGGCUGCCUGGCCCCCUCUCUCAGCCUCGAUUUCCACCCUGCCUGACCCUCGUGGAGUGACUAGAGAGGAGAACCCAGUGGUUUCUGCACCCAUCCCUCCUGUCUUCUCCCGCAUAUCCUCAACUUUCUUUUCUUUCAGUCACACAGGCAGUGUCCCUGGCCUGCUCUUCUCAGACAUCCCUUCAGGUCUCUCAAGAAUGUCCUCGUAUUCCUCUAAAGAGAUGACUCACCAGGAAAUCAGCUGUGGCUUUCACUGAUUCCCAAUGGGAAACAUCCACUGUGGCAGGAAAAAUACCAGGGGAGUGCGGUCAGUGCCUGGACUGUACCAGUCAUGAAAGAGCUUGGAUAUCAUGUCUGUAUUUGAAGAGGCUUGAGACCAUCAGCAAAACUAGGCCAAGGCAGCUUAUUCAUUGCAUCAGAGCUGUCAGUGAGCUGCUUUAAGCUGCAUUUAACAAUUAACUUGAAACUGGCUGAAAUGAAGAAACGGAAUGAUUAUAAUCCGGAGGAAGGUAGGCUCCCAUAUCAUUUGACUGUUAACCCCUCACCUUUGUCCUCAUCCUUACGCCAGCUCCCCUUCAGGCCAUCAGCAGGGUGGCUGCAGCAGUGUUUGCCCUUUGUAGCUUCAUAGCAUCAUCUAUAGGAUGAGAAAUCACACAUUCCUAAGGCUCUGUCUAAAUGUGACAAAACUUCCCUCACAAAACAUGAAUAACCUCCCGCUGGAGUUUCUUUGACCUAUGCUGGUGUCCCAUACAUACUCCUGAACAACCCUAUAGCAGUUUUUUUCUAUUAAGUACAGUUGAUUUACAACAUUGUGUCAAUUUCUGCUGUACAGAAAAGUGACCCAGUCAUAUCUUUUUUUUUCCUCAUAGUAUCUUCCAUCAUGUUCAACCCUAUAGCUAUUGAUUGACUUAG
rnacentral:lncRNA from 1 species